rnacentral:sRNA from 1 species
AGGUAGGGAAGCGAUUCACCUCCUCCCGAACGCUUCGGUUCGACGGGCAGCAUUCUUCUUCCCAAGCUGUCGGUCACUUAUUGAGCCCGGCGCACUUCCUCCCGCGCCGGAUUUUUUUU